AAAUUUUAAUCUAUUCUUUAUUAAUUAUUCGAUGAUUAUUCUAACGGAUUAUAAUGUGUUGAAAGUGGGGAAUAUGGAAUCAUAACUGAGUUAUUGAAUCAUAAUUCAUCUUAUGAUCGAUCAUAUAUUUUAAAAGGUAUCCGAAUGUUUGUACAAUUUUGCUAAAGUUUGAGGAAUAUUUCAAGAUCAAAUUAUUCAAUUUUGUGAAAAGAUUCUACACUCAGAGUUUGAUAUCAAAUAUGAAUUUAUAGAAUCAGCAUUAUAAAAAAUAUGAAGUACAGCUCUGAACGCAACGUUAAAAACCUACCACAUAAAAAUAGAAUGCAGCCACAAAAUUUUCUUUUUAAAUUAAUUUUUUAAUAAAAUAAUUUGUAUUUA